UUCCCUUAGUAGCGGCGAGCGAAACGGGAAGAGCCCAAACCAACAAGCUUGCUUGUUGGGGUUGUAGGACACUCUAUACGGAGUUACAAAGGACGACAUUAGACGAAUCAUCUGGAAAGAUGAAUCAAAGAAGGUAAUAAUCCUGUAGUCGAAAAUGUUGUCUCUCUUGAGUGGAUCCUGAGUACGACGGAGCACGUGGAAUUCCGUCGGAAUCUGGGAGGACCAUCUCCUAAGGCUAAAUACUCUCUAGUGACCGAUAGUGAACCAGUACCGUGAGGGAAAGGUGAAAAGCACCCCGGAAGGGGAGUGAAAUAGAACCUGAAACCGUGUGCUUACAAGUAGUCAGAGCCCGUUAAUGGGUGAUGGCGUGCCUUUUGUAGAAUGAACCGGCGAGUUA
rnacentral:rRNA from 1 species